rnacentral:rRNA from 1 species
AUGCAGUCGAACGGGAAUCUUCGGAUUCUAGUGGCGGACGGGUGAGUAACGCGUAAGAAUCUAACUUCAGGACGGGGACAACAGUUGGAAACGACUGCUAAUACCCGAUGUGCCGCAAGGUGAAAACUAAUUGGCCUGAAGAAGAGCUUGCGUCUGAUUAGCUAGUUGGUGGGGUAAGAGCCUACCAAGGCGACGAUCAGUAGCUGGUCUGAGAGGAUGAGCAGCCACACUGGGACUGAGACACGGCCCAGACUCCUACGGGAGGCAGCAGUGGGGAAUUUUCCGCAAUGGGCGAAAGCCCGACGGAGCAACGCCGCGUGAGGGAGGAAGGUCUUUGGAUUGUAAACCUCUUUUCUCAAGGAAGAAGUUCUGACGGUACUUGAGGAAUCAGCCUCGGCUAACUCCGUGCCAGCAGCCGCGGUAAUACGGGGGAGGCAAGCGUUAUCCGGAAUUAUUGGGCGUAAAGCGUCCGCAGGUGGUCAGCCAAGUCUGCCGUCAAGUCAGGUUGCUUAACGACCUAAAGGCGGUGGAAACUGGCAGACUAGAGAGCAGUAGGGGUAGCAGGAAUUCCCAGUGUAGCGGUGAAAUGCGUAGAGAUUGGGAAGAACAUCGGUGGCGAAAGCGUGCUACUGGGCUGUAUCUGACACUCAGGGACGGAAGCUAGGGGAGCGAAAGGGAUUAGAUACCCCUGUAGUCCUAG